rnacentral:rRNA from 1 species
CGCGGCCUAUCAGCUUGUUGGUGAGGUAAUGGCUCACCAAGGCGACGACGGGUAGCCGGCCUGAGAGGGCGACCGGCCACACUGGGACUGAGAUACGGCCCAGACUCCUACGGGAGGCAGCAGUGGGGAAUAUUGCACAAUGGGCGAAAGCCUGAUGCAGCGACGCCGCGUGAGGGAUGGAGGCCUUCGGGUUGUAAACCUCUUUCAGCAGGGAAGAAGUGGUCGGGUUUUCUCGGUCGUGACGGUACCUGCAGAAGAAGCGCCGGCUAACUACGUGCCAGCAGCCGCGGUAAUACGUAGGGCGCAAGCGUUGUCCGGAAUUAUUGGGCGUAAAGAGCUCGUAGGCGGUUUGUCGCGUCUGCUGUGAAAACUCGAGGCUCAACCUCGGGCUUGCAGUGGGUACGGGCAGACUAGAGUGCGGUAGGGGAGACUGGAAUUCCUGGUGUAGCGGUGGAAUGCGCAGAUAUCAGGAGGAACACCGAUGGCGAAGGCAGGUCUCUGGGCCGCAACUGACGCUGAGGAGCGAAAGCAUGGGGAGCGAACAGGAUUAGAUACCCUGGUAGUCCAUGCCGUAAACGUUGGGCACUAGGUGUGGGGCUCAUUCCACGAGUUCCGUGCCGCAGCUAACGCAUUAAGUGCCCCGCCUGGGGAGUACGG